ensembl:lncRNA
UAUUACAGCACCAGACUUGCUGUCAAAAACACCUUUACCAGACACAGCAUUAAUAUGAGGCACAAGGCUGACUCCUUACUCACCACUCAAACAUGAAAUCAAAAAGCCUCUGUAGCAAAAGAAGCAAUAGGGAGCCAGUGAAUGUUCGUUGGAGGAGAGAUUCCAUCAGCAUUGAGUUCCGGAGUGAGUCUCCACAUGAUAUAUGACUGGCAGCCAGGAGCACAGCCAGGAGAUGGAAACAACAGGCUCAGGGAACAGGAUGACAGCCUGAGCCAGGGCGGUGAAGAUGGGAUGGAGAAGAGGAGACAGAUGUCAUAAUGACGCAGAGGAACAAUCCAAGCGUCUUGGUAGAGGUUGGACACUGGUGAUCACAAAGAUGCCUGCAAGGCUGGGGAGGAUGAUGGUGGCACCCUCAGAAGGAGGAGGGACAGCUUGGAGGGAGAAGACGACAGUUGCAGACCCAUGCUCUGGAUGGAUGAUUAGUCAAAGACCAGUGAGCAACCUCAGGGCUUGGCUACAUCGGUUAGAGGGUCCUAGAGUGGUAUGGAACUGGAGGGUACUGGGCAGAGGAAUCCCCAAGGGGGUGCCAUGGAGGGGCCAUCAUCCCACCAACACUCCCCAUGUGAGCUCCAGUUUCUGGGGGCCUGCAAAACCAAACCUUGAGCGCCUAUGGGAACUGUCAAUAUUUGCCUGGUUAAGAGCCCCACCUAGAGACUCAGCAACAGCUCCUCCACACACAGUAAUCGGCAUCUUUCAUGCGGGCCUAGGGGAAACCGUCUCAAUUGAUACCACUUCACACUCAGCACUUGACAUUUCCAAGACACUCCACAGGCAUUAGCUAAUUAAUCCUCGAGUCUGUUUAGCCCCCAAAAGAACUCCCAGAGGCUCCACUUGUACCCCACGGGAGGGGAGUUUCACACUCUCUGAAGCUUGGGAUCCCCAGCAUUGAGAAGACAGCCUUGCAGACAGCCACUCGCCCACUCCCUUGCCUGCUGGUGACUCAAACAGCUGCCAGGCACACAGCAAGAGGCCCUGAGAGAAGAGGUCCUCACUGAGGCAGAUGCUUCCCGGGAGAGAGACAGGAAGAUGAAGAGAGACAUAGGAGACCAGCAUUGACCCAGCUCAGCCCCUGCCAGAUGAAGAAUUCAAGGCUCAGAAAUGGACCUACUUGACCAAGGUCACACAAUGAGACACUGAUGGAGCCCAAACAUGAACAGCUUGCCUCCGAAGUCUUGGUCUUUCCCACCGUCUUCCAGGUCUAGCUUUCCUCUUCUCCCCUCUUCCUCUUCAUCCCAGAGACAGAAAACAAGAGACAGGCUUGUCUGCUGGCAAUGUUCCCUCUCUCUGAACUAGCCUCUCAAACAACUCUUCCCAGCAGCUUUCCCCGAGAUAAAGGCUUGAUGACAGAUCUGCCUGUUGACAAAAUCUGGAACAAAGCAGGGCAUCUUUUCUUAGCAGCAUCUAUUCCUCCUUUAACUCGUUUGAUAACAUUGUGCAGUGCAGACCUGCAGGGUUUCAAAGCGCUGUAAAUUCCCCAUGCUGAUGCCGCAGCUCGUGCUCCUGGUUUGUGCUUUGUUUGUCCCUGUGCAGACCAGUGGUGAGUGUCUAUCACCAGUUGGAGGGUUGCAUUUGGCAGGAAAGGUUUCUAUGCAUUUGGGAGAUUCAUUUGCCAAGCACCAAGGACUGCAGUCAAGUGUUGAAGGGAG